ensembl:lncRNA
CUACGUUCCAUUAACGGACAUGUAGUUUUACAAAAAGUCUACACACCCACACCCACACCCACACAUACAAUAUAUAUAUAUAUAUAUAUAUUUCACCCGUACAGGCGAAUCUGUAUUAAUUUCAACGCUUCUGAAUUUCCACUCUGUUGUGGAUUUUAUUAUGAAAAAGAAGAACUGUACUUCUGGCGGAUAUGACGUCAGGCAGGAGGCGCUCUCGUGAUGUGUACAGUGUAAUGAUAGUAGUAAGCUGUAACCUUUCACGCGCGCGAGCGUGUGUGUGGAAUUAAAAGUUACCUGGAUAAAUGCUCACAGCUCCAGUUCACCUGUAAGUAAGACUGUGCUCGUGACAGAAACUCCACCAUGAGGCGGAAUAAAGACUCCAACUGUGUGGAAGGUCAGGUCCUCAGAGAUGUGUACUCUCCACAUGGGUCCUGCCAAUCUCCAGUGGGGUGUAGUUACUCUGCUGCCUCUUCCUGAAGUCCACCACCAGCUGCUUGGUUUUGUUGAUGUUGUUGGAGUGACCGUUACCCUGGGCCAGGCCGUGGUGCCCCAGUGAGGGACAAUGGUGUUGAAGGCUGAACUCUAGUCUAUAAACAGCAGCCUUACAUAAUUCCCUAAAUCUCCUGUUGUCCGUAUGGAUUGUAUCAUAACCGACUGAUUCCUUUUAUUUCUAUUAGUUUAUGUGUGUGUUGGUUCGCUUUCUUUAUUUUUAUAUUCUUUAAUUAAUGAUGGUAAAAUAAAACAUCUGGUCUUCACUAAAUGUCCUGGAUGGAGCUCUGAGUCCUGAAAGUUUCUCAUGAAAACCAAAUGUCAUGUGUGAACACUCUUGUGAAUGAUUUACGAAUAAAU